UGUUAUUUUGAGAAUGUCAUCUCGGUUUCAAGAAAUGAGCCAAACCAAUCGAGAAAAACUGUAAUAGGGAAGCGCUACUGUGCAGGAUCAAAGAAAGAUGUUCGACUAAAUAUGUGAGAAAGCUGUUCCUCCUGAACACAGAGAUCAUGAGCCACACUGAGCCAUCUCCACUCGCUUCCUUAACAUGAUGUCAUUGGAUAAAGCUUCUAGUUACUUUUCCUACAUAACAUAAAUUGUCUUAAAACUUUAGGCUUAAUCUUGAUUAUACCAAUGAUUUGACAAUAUCUGACUUACCUGUAUUUGUGAUGAUGUACCAAAUCAAAUUCAAAUUUAGCUGGAUUUGAUACAGAAGGGGAACAGGACACCUAUUGGUAACUCUCAGAACAAAUGCUGAAGUAAAGAAGCAAAUUCUACCGGUUUGACCAUCGACAUUGGAAUAAAAUACAAGUAGAAAUAAGAAAUUACAAUAGCUUGCCAACAUUUCAGCACUCAUGCUAGUGGUAUCACCAACAAAAAGAUAUCAUGCUUGACCUGGAGAUUGCAGCGGCCCUAGAAAUAACAGUGUUCAUUUUUUUUCUCCUUCAGGGGCCUAUGGAUUGUCCAUAAACCCACAAUCUCAAAAACUAGAGUUAAAGAAACCUGAAACCGAGCAGCGUUAUUUAUAAGGUUAAAAGUAUGGCAGCGUAAAGGAAGGGCACUUACAAUUUAUGUGCUGAAGGCGCUGCCACAGGAACACGGGGCUAUUUAGCAGAUGAGCGCUGUGAGGCACGAUGUGUCUGGGCACACACACCGGUGCCCUCGCAACCUGCCCAGCGCAGGCGGUUUAAGGUGCGGAG